CUCGGCUGCCCGUCCCGAUCAGAAUCCUGUCGCGGUGCUCUUCACUGAGUGUCGAGGCGGGCCGGCACGUUUACUUUGAACAAAUUAGAGUGCUCAAAGCAGGCUAAAACAUCGCCUGAAUACUGUGUGCAUGGAAUAAUGGAACAGGACCUCGGUUCUAUUUUGUUGGUUUUCGGAACCCCGAGGUAAUGAUUAAUAGGGACAGAUGGGGGCAUUCGUAUUGCGACGUUAGAGGUGAAAUUCUUGGAUCGUCGCAAGACGGGAAACAUUCGCCAAAAUGUUUUCAUUAAUCAAGAACGAAAGUCAGAGGUUCGAAGGCGAUCAGAUACCGCCCUAGUUCUGACCAUAAACGAUGCCAGCUAGCGAUCCGCCGACGUUCCUCCGAUGACUCGGCGGGCAGCUUCCGGGAAACCAAAGCUUUUGGGUUCCGGGGGAAGUAUGGUUGCAAAGCUGAAACUUAAAGGAAUUGACGGAAGGGCACCACCAGGAGUGGAGCCUGCGGCUUAAUUUGACUCAACACGGGAAAACUCACCAGGUCCGGAUACCGAAAGGAUUGACAGAUUGAGAGCUCUUUCUUGAUUCGGUGGGUGGUGGUGCAUGGCCGUUCUUAGUUGU
rnacentral:rRNA from 1 species